UAUCGUUAUAUUUGUUGGACAGCGUGAUUGGUACCUUGAAGAUCGCUUUAAUGAGCUACGACUGCGAAUAUACAAUGAGACAGGCUAACAAAACGAUAGGAAACAUCCACGCGUAUCCUGUGCACGAAGGAAACGCAGAAUUAACAGAUGAGAUCCUCAAUUUUUCUUGGCAAAUAUCGUACACGCAACUUGAAAAGACGAAAUCGGUUCAUUACAUAUUAAACUAUGGAUUCGUC